AUCUACCAGGAGACCAAAGCGUCAAAGGCCCAAGCUGCUUCACCCCAUCCCCCAGGAGGACAGUAUCAGAAAUGCUGCCUCUCAGUCAGAAGAGACUACAGAACUCACUCCCAGGGCUGCAACCACCUCAGAGGGAAAACUGGCCAAGCUCGGCCAUAAAAUCGGGAAGAAUCUGGACAAAACAAGAAACCGUGAGCUAUCUGAAAAACCUACUCCCUCAUGCCUAUGAAGUCAUAAGGCCCUAAUGAUAAUAAGGCCCAGUCCCGGCCAAAGUUGGGGUCUACGGCACCCAAACCCUCCUUGCCCCGACCACCAUCUCUCAGUUCCCCCAUGUCCCUUAUUAAAGCGUUGCAUCCCA